CACCGCGGUUAUACGAGAGGCCUAAGUUAACAGACACCGGCGUAAAGAGUGGUUAAGGAGAAGUCAAAACUAAAGCCGAAUAACCUCAAGACUGUUAUACGUUACCGAGGACAAGAAGCCCAACUACGAAAGUGGCUUUAAUUUCCCCGACUCCACGAAAGCUGUGAAA
rnacentral:rRNA from 1 species